AGAGGAGUCGAGCUGCAGCAUUUUGAAUAAGCUGAAGGCGGUUAAUGGAUGACUUGUCCAAGCCUGCGUAUAAGGAGUUGCAGUAAUCUAUACGUGAAGUUAUAAAGGCAAAAAGCUGGUCUUGGUCUGUUAAACUCACAACAUAGCAGAGGGAUUAUUAAGGUCACCAGGUCAGUGAAUCAGCUGAUUUUACUGGCAGGUGUGCAUACUGUAGCUGUUAGUGAGGAGGCUCAAGACCCGUUCGCCUCUGGUAGGUCAGUUGAAUCAGCAAUUCCAGUAUGAAGGCUGCCACGCCUCCACCUCCUCAGCCCUCAGUACAUCGCAGUUCAAAGAGUCUGUUAAUAAGCACGCCAAAAAUCAAGCUGCUCUGAGGUGGUCAUGUGCAGCCAAUGUGUUUCCUGUUUGAAGUACCAGAGAAGAUCAGGGUUUCCCAAAGUGGAUCACUCAGAGAUGAAGCACCCUUAAAGAGCUAAGUGCUGCGUCCGAAUUACCUAGUAGUAGUAAGUAGUAUGUAGCAUGCCUGAAUUGGACACCGGAGCGAGUAGCAUGCUACUUCAGAUACUACUUUAGACACGCCCACAUUAUAGGAUGGUCGCGGUGCAUCCUACGGGCAUGCUACUGACCCAUAAUGCACCGCGGGCU